GGCCUCGGAGCGCCAGGGCCGUGAAGGGGUUAAUGAGCGGGGUUUGCGAAACGUGGGUACAGAGUGGAGAUGCAGGCAUCUCCCCAGCCCCGCGGACUCGGCCCUGAACCUCCCUUUCCUCUGGGGUCAGGCCUAAUAGCAUGCUUGGGGGCGUUGGCAGCUGUAGAGGGCGUGGGGGACAAGGCAAUCCCAGCGGUGCCCCCUAGGGCACCCCUAUCGCGGUGAAAGGCAACAGCAACGCCCCCUGCCCCCACCUGCAACCCGAGCCCCUGUGGGGCUUCUUGGAGAGGUAUGAGGGGGUUGGAGAGGUAUGAGGGGCGUUGGGGCUUGCAGCACCCGCUCCCUGACAGCUCUGUAGGACCCCUUCCCCCACUGGUGCCAGGUCCCUGCAGUGGGGCCAAGCGAGGGUGGGCUUUGUGUGGGCUGGGCAUGCGUGCCUGGAGGACCUGGGGUGGGCAUGGGACAGGGAGGAUGCCCACCCCAGCUGCCCUAGUGAUGUCCACGAUGCCGCAGGCUGUACACACGUUUCCUUGCACGUGCACGUGUCAACGUGGGCUGCACACUUGCACACCUCGUGUGCACAUGCCUGCCAAGGCUGCCCCAGUGUGCACAUGCACAACACUAGAGGAACACACAUGGACUCUGAGGGUGCACAUCCAUGUUCUCGCCCCCAUCUGCACACCUACAGACACACGCAUUCACAUAGCAUGCCUGCUGUGAUCUCCAUGCUUGCCACAUGCUUGGGCCCUGUAGUGGGAACUGCUCCCACACUGCAUGCUCAUGUUUAGUGAGGGAAGGCUCUGGGCAGCUGAGCCCCACAGAUAGAGGGGCAAGACCCUUGUCCCCACCUCUGUCUGUCCUGGGAGUCUCCCCUUUACACUCUUUUGGGUCAGUGUGUGCUUGUGUAAUAAGAUAUGUGACUGCACGUGUGUGUCUGGGUGCAUGACCAUGUGUCCCAGUGAGCACAUUAGCAUGUGUCACUCUUCCUCUUGGUGUGGGUGCCCCUUGUGUGCGCAGGAGGCCUAUAGCCAAAUCUGGAGCAUAGGCCCUUGGAACAUGUGUUGGGGGGCUUGUUCUGGGCCCCCACCCCAGGCUAUGAGCUACAGGGUCUCCUAGCUACUCCCCCAACCACCAGUGCUGGACCCCAUGGGUGGCUUGGAAUUUACCUGGUCAGAGAAGACCCAUCUCACAUCCUCAGGUCAAAAUCAUGACAGUCAGGCCAGACCCUGGGCACACUCAGCUGCCUCUGCAGCUCAGCUAACCAGGGCAGCUGACCUAACAUGACUUCAUACAGGCCUCAGUUUCUCUGUGAUGCAGACCUUCUGGUGAGGGGGUCCAUGGUGGUCUCACCUGCCUCAUAUGUUGUGUGGGGUGCUGGGGGAUUGGUAAAAGUGCUGGUGACCCAGUAACACUGGUGAGGAGGACUCUGAGCAGGGGCUCAGAGGCAGGGCCCCAUCCAUGGCUAUCUCUAGUGUCCCCAUCCAUAGAAUGAGGACAAGUAUGUCAUCCUGUAGGUUGUGUGGAGGUGAACAUGCUAAAAGAGGGGUGGGCAGCAGGGGUGGCCACUCCCAUUUACUAAACCUCAGUCUUCCCAUCUGCAAAGUGGACACUGUCCCCAUGCUUCUCCCGCAGAAGUGAGAAAGAAGUAUGCUCCCAUGCCACAGUCUUGGCUGGGUGGUGUUCAGCACCCAGACUCCUAGCAGAGGGGAGCUCACCAGGCCUGGGUAUGGCAUGACCUGGAUUUGAGUCCAGGCUCAAGCACCCAUUGGCAGUGUGCCUCUAUGCCUCGGUCUUCUUCACCUGUGACUUGGGCCAAUAAUCUGAGGUUGUUAGGCAUAUCAAAGGCCGACCUCCAGUGGGGUUGGCCCACUUUUCCCAAGGAGAUUUGACCCUGAUGCUUCUGCUUUCAAAAUGCCCAAAAUACCUCUCUUCAGUUAGCAGGGAACCUCCUGGGACCCCAGCACCACCAACUGGGUCUCUUCCUCCUCCCCAUUCACAGAUGGGGCAAUAAAAUCCCACAGAGGCUGCAGGGUGAGCAUUUCUGCUUAGGGGGAGGCCUUGAGCACUGAGGGUGAAGAGUUGGAUGGAUGGACGAAAGCCGGUGUCCUGCAUAGGCCCAGCUUCCUCAGGUGGAGGCAGCCGCGUCCCCAUGGCACCUCAGCCCAGGCCGGGGGGUCCAGGAGCAGAGUGAGUCGGGGAAGACACCAGAGAAGGCAAUCACAGCUCUGCUUGGCUCCGCUCCACUCCACGGCUGCUGAGGUGAGCUGCUGACCUCAGCAGCCGCAGGCCCACUGGCUCCUGCGGCUGCUGGGUGCCUCCCCAGAAGCCUCUCAGCCCACCUGGUCCGUCUCCCCUACCUCCUCCUCUGCAUGCACCCUUCUGUCCCCCUCACCCAGCCCCUCUGCCCCUGCCCCUUUGUCUCCUUCCCCCUCCUCUCCUUCCUCCAUCUUCCCCUUCCCAUCCCCCUUGCCCUCCCCCACUCUCCUCCCUUCCCCUCUUUCUCUCCUCCCCUCUUCUCUUUCCCUCCUCCUUCCCUUCCUGCAGUGAACAUGAACAUGGGCUCUUUGCUCACAAGAGCUUGUGGUGCUGGCUGAAUAGUGCACAUAGCCCAGGGGUUAUUCCGCGCUCCGUCUGGCUGCCCCUGGGGAGACUGGGUCAGUAUCCAGUCACUUUCCCCUGGGAAGUCGCAGAGCCUUCUGGACAGUUAGCCUCCCCCCUCAUCUCCUGAGUGUGGCUCUAAUGCCCUCCCUGGCUCCUAGCCAGAUCUGGCUAAGGCAGGAGCCCUUUGCUAGCCCCCACAUGGUGAUUCUGACAGGAGUUGGCCUGGGAAUGGCAGGAGUGACACUGGGUUGGGGAUAGCUCACGAGGCAAGCAGGAGUGACCACGCCUGAAGGGUGCUCCUUGCGGUUUCUGUGUGUGACAGGAGGCCACCUGGGGCAGUUUGCUCUCCACAUGUGCCUGGAUCACACUCACGUUGAGUGCUGAUGGAGAACUGGGACCCAAAAGAGAAUGGGUGAGAGUUGCAGGUAGCCGCCCAGGGGAGGAAGGGACAGCUGGGCUGGUCUCCAAGAGGAGGACAGAGUCUCUUGUGGGAAUCAGUAGGGAGGUUGAAGAGAGAGAAAGGAGAGAUGGACAAGGACAGGACAGGGAGGGGACCCCAGGCCUUGUGGCCAGCCAGGGGGACAGGCCAGAUGAAUAGGCUGGAGAGGACUUUUGGGAGCAGAGGCUGCUAGCCAAGAUGAAGGGCAGAGAGAGGUCAGGCGAGGCUGCCCUGGGGUGAGGUCAGGGGAUCCCUCCCACUGCCUGGCUGGCUCUUCCGUGUUUCCCGGCCCCUGCUGUGAAUACAAACCCAUGCUGCAAAGUUGGGUUUGAUUAUCUCAUAAAAAGAUGCCCCCUCAUGCUUGCUCAGCGGAGGGGUUGCUAUGGAGACCAGCGGGCAGGCCCAAGGGGGGCCAGGCUGGAGCCAAUUACUGUGGCUGCAGCAGAAGAAAGCCCACCCCGGCCGCUGCACCAACUCUCAGAAGUUGGUUUCCAAAAGACAGUUGUCUCGGCAGGAAUGGAGCUGUUUCUCUGCUGCCUGGCAGGGCUGACAACCACGCAGCUGCUCCCCCAGUUGCCCACUUUCCCAGCAUGGCUGUCCUGCAGCCAACCAGGGUGUGACACCAGCCAAACUCAGACCACGGCCUCAAGCUGGGGGCCACAGGACAUGGUGCAGUGGUGGCCUGGAUCCAUCACAAUGUGGUGGCUUGGUUACCACGCAUGAUGGGUGAUGCGGAUCAGUUGGCAGCAAGGUCCAGUCUGACAAGGUCCGGGCAGCAGUAUGUCUGUGGCAUGGUGUGGCUGAUGAUGUGGCCCACCGUGGCAGUGAGGCCCCCUCCCAGCCCAGGUCUUCCUGAGAUCCUGAGGGUUUUCAGAGCACAGGGCCUUUCUGUGACCACAGGUGAGACACUAUGGGGCAUGGUCAGGUGCACUUUGCCAAGGAGGUGUAAGAAGAGUGAGGAGAAGAUGUUUAAAUAGAACAUCAGGCCCCAGUGUCUCUCUCACAUGGCCAGCUGGGGGAGCAGGAAUUGGGAGCUCCUGACUAUGUGGACCUCCAUCCUGGGGCUGGGGAGGGGCUCCCAAGACCUGGGUGCAUCCUAGUGAUAGCUAUCCUUGCCUGGCUCACUAGGGCUCUGGAUUUAGGGCAAUUGCCUGUUCUGCUUCAGACAGAAGAGGACCCCAGCAUGGGGUGGGAGGCACAAGGUGCAGUCCUAAGUCCGGGAAGGUAGCCGAUGGUCUCUCUCCUCCCUCCAACUCCAACACCUAGCCAGCCUCCUGUCUGCAGAAUCCUGUUCUUAGCUGCCUGCCAAGGAAGGUGUUAGCUGUCAAGAAGGUGUUAGCUGAUAACUCAAGUGUUAGCUGAUAAGCCAUAACCCUCCCAGGGGGAUUCACAUUUUAAUAGACUCACUCCUGAAGAUGGAAAGAACCUUCAGUAUCCACAGGAGUGGGGCUCAGAUGGUGAGGGUGACCGGCAGUGUAGCUGACUAUUAGGGAUGUGGCCCUGCCAGUGAGGCCAGAUCUGCAUGUGGUGCCCCACCCCUAGGCCCCUCUAGUGCUGAGAGGCCCUUGUGAGGCCCCAAAUGUGUCUGACUUGUGAUUAGGAGGGGUGCAGCACCCCUGGGCUAGGGGAGACAACACCAAGAGCCUGUUCUGGUUGGGGAAGUGCCUGGGUGGGAGGGUUGAGAGCACCAGGAUUAUUCAGGAAUUGGUUGAGAAAAAUAAAACUCCUCCCCUGGGAGGGGAUCAAGCAGAGAAUGAGGCCAGGGUGGAGGCUGCUGAAGGUGUUCCAGCCAAGUCCGGAAGUGCUUAAAAGGGAGGCUGUGUGGAGGAGGGAGCAGCCUGGGCUUGGGGAUUUCCAGGGCAGGCCCGCACUCCUCUUCUCCCUCCUGCCAGCCCUUCUGGCACCCCAGACCCCUUCCUGGGAUAGCAGAGAUGCUAGUGGGAGGACUCACUUUGGGUCACCAAGGGCCACUGCCACUGGGGGCUACAGUAUCUUCAUUAAAGCACUGUGGCAUGGGCAGGGGGGAAUUCCCCUGGAAUCCCAGUUGCCAGGGCCUAAGAAAGACUUGGGGGUCUGGGCCACAACCCCCUCUUCUGCAGCCUGAGAGGGAGGGCCUGCUGCAGAAGCUGCCCAGGGCUCUGUGGCUAACUGCUUGGGUUUCCCCUCCUCAAGCUCUGCUUCCUCCCAGGCUAGGAGCUCAGCCCACUAGUGUUAACCUAGAGCUGGCCUCCUCCUCUCCCAGCCUGACCUACAGGCUGAUGGGACUGGCUGGGUGGGGCAGGAAUAACGCUGGGACCCAUGGGGACCACAGUCAGGACUGGGGGCUCUCUUUUCACUAAAAAGCCACAGAAAGCAUCAGCAAGUAUGAACAACCAUCCCAGGAGGCUGUGGGCUAACCCUGUGGGGUGUGUGUGGUGGGCAUAGCAUCUAGCGUGUGUGAGCUAUGGGUAGGAUGGCAUGGGGCAUCUGCAGACACAGAGAGUGUGGCUUGGGGACAAGUCAUAACUCAGCAUCACUGUCUGGCAUAUGAAGCAGGAUCCCAAUACCCACAAAUGCCAGGGUUGCCAGCUACAUUUCAUCCUCAAUCUCUCCCAAGGCCCAGUCCCAAGCCGAGCCUGGCUCCAGCAUGACCCUGAACCUCUCAGGAACCCCUGCCUGCUAACCACUUUUUCCUCUGCCCGUAGGAACCCGGCUGCUGGCAUGGGUACUGUGGCUGCAGGCCUGGCAGGUGGCAGCACCAUGCCCAGGUGCCUGUGUGUGCUACAGUGAGCCCAAGGUGACCAUGAGCUGCCCCCAGCAGGGCCUGCAGGCUGUGCCCACUGGCAUCCCAGCUGCCAGCCAGCGCAUCUUCCUGCACGGCAACCGCAUUUCCCAUAUUCCGGCUGCUGGCUUCCAUGCCUGCCGCAACCUCACCAUCCUGUGGCUGCAUUCCAAUGCACUGGCCCACAUUGACGCCACUGCCUUUGCUGGCCUGACCCUCCUGGAGCAGCUGGACCUCAGCGACAAUGCUCAACUUCGUGCCGUGGAUCCCACCACAUUCCAUGGCCUGAGCGCCUGCACACACUGCAUCUGGACCGCUGUGGCCUGCAGGAGCUGGGCCCCGGCCUGUUCCAUGGCCUGGCCGCGCCCUGCAGUACCUCUACCUGCAAGACAAUGGGCUACAAGCGCUGCCUGACGACGCCUUCCGUGACCUGGGCAACCUCACACCUUUUUCUGCACGGCAACCACAUCCCUAGCGUGCCUGGGCGCCUUCCGGGGCCUGCACAGCCUGGACCGCUCCUCUUGCACCAGAAUCGUGUGGCCCGCGUGCACCCGCAUGCCUUCCAUGACCUUGGUCGCCUCAUGACCCGCUCUACCUGUUUGCCAACAACCUCUCCAUGUUGCCCGCCGAGGCCCUGGCACCCCUGCGUGCCCUGCAGUACCUUCGGCUCAACGAUAACCCCUGGGUGUGUGAUUGCCGGGCACGCCCACUCUGGGCCUGGCUGCAGAAGUUCCGAGGUUCCUCUCGGAGGUGCCAUGCAGCUUUCCUGUGCUCCUGGCUGGCCGUGACCUUAAGCGACUAGCCUCCACUGACCUGGAGGGCUGUGCCCUGACCACUGGGCCCUUCCAUCCCAUCCGGACCAGUGGGGCCACCGAUGAGGAGCUGCUGGUGCUGCCCAAGUGCUGCCAGCCUGAUGCAGCAGACAAGGCCUCGGUGCUGGAGCCUGGGAGGCCAGCCUCAGCUGGCAAUGCCCUCAAGGGGCGUGUGCCUCCUGGUGACAGCCCGCCAGGCAAUGGCUCGGGCCCACGGCACAUCAAUGACUCUCCGUUUGGGACCCUGCCUAGCUCUGCAGAGCCUCCACUGACUGCACUGCGCCCUGAGGGUUCCCAGUCGCCAGGGCUCCCCCACCACUGGCCCCCGCCGGCGGCCAGGCUGUUCCCGAAAGAACCGCACCCGCAGCCAGUGCCGCCUGGGCCAGGCGGGCAGUGGAGGCAGCGGGGCAGCUGAUGCAGAGGCCUCGGGCACCCUGCCAGCCCUGGCCUGCAGCCUUGUGCCCCUGGGCCUUGCCCUGGUGCUAUGGACAGUACUUGGGCCCUGCUGAUCAGCCAUCAGCCACCAGAGCCUCUCAGCAGCCAGGUGUGUGUACAUAUGGGGUCUCCCUCCAUGCCGCCAGCCAGCGCCUGGGGAUGGGCCCCAUGGGGCAGGCCAGGCCCUCCCUGAUGGACGCCUCCCCUCUAGCCCAACCCCAUCUCCACCCCAUCAUGUUUACAGGGUCAGGGGGCUGCGUUUGUUCCAGAACGCUGUCUCCCACCCGGAUCGCGGUAUAUAGAGAUAUGCAUUUUAUUUUACUUGUGUAAAAAUAUUGGACGACGUGGAAUAAAGAGCUUUUUUCUUAAGCUGUGGCCUCCCCAGCUGUGGUGCUGUGGGUGGUGAGAGGCAAGGGUGGGCCAGGGGUGGCAUCUCUCCCAGCACUGGCACAUGAAGCCACCGAGAAGGAACAGAGCUGUCUGGCCACUUGGAUGCUACGCCCUGGGCUGACUGUGGGUGACUGGGACACCAGAUGUGAAGUAUCUGCACACCCCUCCAGUCAUGCCAGCUCAGCUUGCCCACAGCUGAAUCCCUGUCUGUGUCCAGCCAGCUUUCCCAAGAGAUGGGCCGACAGUGUGCAUGCCGGGCCCACGGGUCAGGACAAGGCUGCCUUUGUGGGGACAUCUGCUCUGGUACCUUCCAGCCUAGGUGUGGGGUACCCCCUGGAAGCUGAGGGCAGGAGGUGACGACCAUGCUCCCCCUGCUGGGGGAUGGGCAGGAGGGGAUGGCCUUAACACCACACACACAGCCCAGCAGCAGGCCCUCAAGGGUCUGCAUGCGCCCCCCUCCCACCACGUGUAUACAUGAGACCCAUACACAUGCACUGCAGGAAUCACACAUGCAUACACAUGCGUGCUUGCAUGUGCUGUAAAACAGUACACGUGACACAGACAAAAACAUGCACACACAUGCUUUUCCAAGGCCUGGGCCAGGGAGGCCUCCAAGGCCAAAGGGAAGGGACCAGUGGCCAGGAAACUGGGAGCUGGGGGCAGGGGCUGAAGGAGAGGGAGGAGAAAAACAAAUUUGGAAGAGGGAGUGGGGGAGCAUUGCUGGUGGAGCCAGAUGGCC
rnacentral:lncRNA from 1 species